GACGAACGCUGGCGGCGUGCUUAACACAUGCAAGUCGAACGGAAAGGCCCUGCUUUUGUGGGGUGCUCGAGUGGCGAACGGGUGAGUAACACGUGAGUAACCUGCCCUUGACUUUGGGAUAACUUCAGGAAACUGGGGCUAAUACCGGAUAGGAGCUCCUGCUGCAUGGUGGGGGUUGGAAAGUUUCGGCGGUUGGGGAUGGACUCGCGGCUUAUCAGCUUGUUGGUGGGUAGUGGCUUACCAAGGCUUUGACGGGUAGCCGGCCUGAGAGGGUGACCGGCCACAUUGGGACUGAGAUGCGGCCCAGACUCCUACGGGAGGCAGCAGUGGGGAAUAUUGCACAAUGGGCGGAAGCCUGAUGCAGCAACGCCGCGUGCGGGAUGACGGCCUUCGGGUUGUAAACCGCUUUCGCCUGUGACGAAGCGUGAGUGACGGUAAUGGGUAAAGAAGCACCGGCUAACUACGUG
rnacentral:rRNA from 1 species